rnacentral:tRNA from 1 species
UGGUGUAGUGGUCAGCACGCUCGACUCGUAACCCAGAGAUCCGUGGUUCGAUUCCCGG